rnacentral:rRNA from 1 species
GAUGAACGCUGGCGGCGUGCCUAACACAUGCAAGUCGAGCGGCAGCGAGGGGUGCUUGCACCCUGUCGGCGAGCGGCGGACGGCUGAGUAACGCGUGGGAACGUGCCCCAAAGUGAGGAAUAACUGCCCGAAAGGGUAGCUAAUACCGCAUAUUAUCUUCGGAUCAAAGGAUUUAUCCGCGUUGGGAGCGGCUCGCGUCGGAUUAGGUAGUUGGUGAGGUAAUGGCUCACCAAGCCGACGACCCGUAGCUGGUCUGAGAGGAUGACCAGCCAGACUGGAACUGAGACACGGUCCAGACUCCUACGGGAGGCAGCAGUGAGGAAUCUUCCACAAUGGGCGAAAGCCUGAUGGAGCAACGCCGCGUGCAGGACGAAGGCCUUCGGGUUGUAAACUGCUUUUAUAAGUGAGGAAUAUGACGGUAACUUAUGAAUAAGGAUCGGCUAACUACGUG